AGGACGAACGCUGGCGGCGUGCUUAACACAUGCAAGUCGAGCGGAAAGGCCCUUCGGGGUACUCGAGCGGCGAACGGGUGAGUAACACGUGAGUAAUCUGCCCCUAGCUUUGGGAUAGCUCCGGGAAACCGGGAUUAAUACCGAAUACGACCACUUUAGACAUCUUUUGUGGUGGAAAGAAUUUCGGCUGGGGAUGAGCUCGCGGCCUAUCAGCUUGUUGGUGGGGUAACGGCCUACCAAGGCGACGACGGGUAGCC
rnacentral:rRNA from 1 species